rnacentral:rRNA from 1 species
AGUGAACGCUGGCGGUAGGCCUAACACAUGCAAGUCGAACGGCAGCACAGUAAGAGCUUGCUCUUACGGGUGGCGAGUGGCGGACGGGUGAGGAAUACAUCGGAAUCUACUUUUUCGUGGGGGAUAACGUAGGGAAACUGACGCUAAUACCGCAUACGACCUACGGGUGAAAGCAGGGGAUCUUCGGACCUUGCGCGUUUGAAUGAGCCGAUGUCGGAUUAGCUAGUUGGCGGGGUAACGGCCCACCAAGGCGACGAUCCGUAGCUGGUCUGAGAGGAUGAUCAGCCACACUGGAACUGAGACACGGUCCAGACUCCUACGGGAGGCAGCAGUGGGGAAUAUUGGACAAUGGGCGCAAGCCUGAUGCAGCCAUACCGCGUGGGUGAAGAAGGCCUUCGGGUUGUAAAGCCCUUUUGUUGGGAAAGAAAAGCAGCAGGUUAAUACCCCGCUGUUCUGACGGUACCCAAAGAAUAAGCCCCGGCUAACUUCGUG